AGAUUAAGCCAUGCAUGUCUAAGUAUAAGCAAUUAUACAGCGAAACUGCGAAUGGCUCAUUAAAUCAGUUAUCGUUUAUUUGAUAGUACCUUACUACAUGGAUAACCGUGGUAAUUCUAGAGCUAAUACAUGCUGAAAACCCCGACUCCGGAAGGGGUGUAUUUAUUAGAUUAAAAACCAAUGCCCUCCGGGGCUUACUGGUGAUUCAUGAUAACUUCUCGAAUCGCACGGCCUUGCGCCGGCGAUGGUUCAUUCAAAUUUCUGCCCUAUCAACUUUCGACGGCUGGGUCUUGGCCAGCCGUGGUGACAACGGGUAACGGAGGGUUAGGGCUCGACCCCGGAGAAAACGCCUGAGAAACGGCGUUUACAUCCAAGGAAGGCAGCAGGCGCGCAAAUUACCCAAUGCCGACACGGCGAGGUAGUGACGAGAAAUACUGAUACAGGGCUCUUUUGGGUCUUGUAAUUGGAAUGAGUACAAUUUAAAUCCCUUAACGAGGAACAAUUGGAGGGCAAGUCUGGUGCCAGCAGCCGCGGUAAUUCCAGCUCCAAUAGCGUAUAUUAAAGUUGUUGCAGUUAAAAAGCUCGUAGUUGAACCUUGGGCCUGGCUGGCCGGUCCGCCUCACCGCGUGCACUGGUCCGGCCGGGCCUUUCCCUCUGGGGAACCCCAUGCCCUUCACUGGGCGUGGCGGGGAACCAGGACUUUUACUUUGAAAAAAUUAGAGUGUUCAAAGCAGCCUAUGCUCGAAUACAUUAGCAUGGAAUAAUAGAAUAGGACGUGCGGUUCUAUUUUGUUGGUUUCUAGGACCGCCGUAAUGAUUAAUAGGGACAGUCGGGGGCGUCAGUAUUCAAUUGUCAGAGGUGAAAUUCUUGGAUUUAUUGAGACUAACUACUGCGAAAGCAUUCGC
rnacentral:rRNA from 1 species